AGAAGAACUGUUUAGAACUUGAUAUAUUCACUUUUAACAGAAUUCCAGAAUUCUAAUGUUCAGAGAAGAUAGAACUUAUUUCAGUUUUAGAACAUCAAAACGAUUAACAACUUUAGCAUUUUUAGAGUAUAAAUAGAAGUGUGAGUAAAAUAGUAUGAAGCAAAACUUCAGAAAUUAAAAAGAUCAACACAGUGAUUUAUAGUGGUUCGGCACUAACUCGCCUACAUCCACUGCCCAAGACUCAUCUUGAGAUCCUCAACUAUGUUAUCUCUUUUCAAGGGUAAGAGACUGUUUUCGUCGAAAAUCCCCCCGAAGGACCCGAAAACAUCCUUUUUGGUUUUUUGAUUAAAUGUUUUUAUUUUGGAUGCGGUGCCGAUAAAUCGGUCUUAUAAACAAUUUUGAGUCGCCACCCAUUGUUUAGGCAAUGAGACCAUUUUUGAAAAUGAC
rnacentral:lncRNA from 1 species